rnacentral:rRNA from 1 species
UGGAAUUUUGAUUUACCGGGAAGAAACCUUAUCCUGGUCUUUGACAUUUUUUUGAUAGCCUAAGAGAUUAGGGGUUCCCUUCCGGGGACAGAAUGACAGGUGGUGCAUGGUUGUCGUCAGCUCGUGUCGUGAGAUGUUGGGUUAAGUCCCGCAACGAGCGCAACCCUUAUUGUCAGUUGCCAGCAUUAAGUUGGGCACUCUGGCAAGACUGCCGGUGACAAACCGGAGGAAGGUGGGGAUGACGUCAAAUCAUCAUGCCCCUUAUGACCUGGGCUACACACGUGCUACAAUGGACGAUACAACGAGUCGCUAGACCGCGAGGUUAAGCUAAUCUCUGAAAGUCGUUCUCAGUUCGGAUUGCAGGCUGCAACUCGCCUGCAUGAAGUCGGAAUCGCUAGUAAUCGCGGAUCAGC